UACGGAGGGUGCAAGCGUUAUUCGGAAUUAUUGGGCGUAAAGGGCGUGUAGGCGGCCAGAUAAGUCAGAGGUGAAAGCCCGGGGCUCAACCCCGGAAGUGCCUUUGAAACUAUCUGGCUUGAGUGCGGGAGAGGAAAGCGGAAUUCCAAGUGUAGAGGUGAAAUUCGUAGAUAUUGGGAGGAACACCGGUGGCGAAGGCGGCUUUCUGGACCGACACUGACGCUGAGGCGCGAAAGCGUGGGGAGCAAACAGG
rnacentral:rRNA from 1 species